rnacentral:rRNA from 1 species
AUUGCCAUUGAUACUGUUUGACUUGAAUAUGGAUGAGGUAGGCGGAAUGUGUAGUGUGGCGGUGAAAUGCUUAGAUAUUACACAGAACACCGAUUGCGAAGGCAGCUUACUAAUCCAUGAUUGACGCUGAGGCACGAAAGCGUGGGGAUCAAACAGGAUUAGAUACCCUGGUAGUCCACGCUGUAAACGAUGAUCACUCGCUGUUUGCGAUACACAGUAAGCGGCUAAGCGAAAGCGUUAAGUGAUCCACCUGGGGAGUACGAUCGCAAGGUUGAAACUCAAAGGAAUUGACGGGGGCCCGCACAAGCGGAGGAACAUGUGGUUUAAUUCGAUGAUACGCGAGGAACCUUACCUGGGCUUAAAUGGGGAGUGACAGCUGCUGAAAGGUGGUUUUCUUCGGACACUCUCCAAGGUGCUGCAUGGUUGUCGUCAGCUCGUGCCGUGAGGUGUCGGGUUAAGUCCCAUAACGAGCGCAACCCUUACUGUUAGUUGCCAGCGGGUAAUGCCGGGGACUCUAGCGGGACUGCCACCGUAAGGUGAGAGGAAGGUGGGGAUGACGUCAAAUCAGCACGGCCCUUAUGUCCAGGGCUACACACGUGUUACAAUGGCCGGUACAAAGGGCAGCUACACCGCGAGGUGAUGCUAAUCUCCAAAGCCGGUCCCAGUUCGGAUCGAAGUCUGCAACCCGA